rnacentral:lncRNA from 1 species
AGUCCUAUUCUGCAAGCGCAGCGCUGCAAAAAGCCUGCGGCGCUCUGAGGCGCCUGGUCCUGGGGACCUCUUUCCACUCUUUACUCUCAAGAUAGGAGGAUGGGUCUGGGGGAUUGUUUUUGGUUUUCUGGUUUUGUUUUACUCUGGUUUGGUCGGUUUUGUAUUUUUCUAUUUUUCCUUUUUUUCCCUUUUUUCUUUUUUGAUUUUUCUUUCCCGUUAUUCUCCCAGCCAAAAGCUACCUUCGACCCUUUUGAUUUGAUGUAGCAAAGAGUGUGUGUCCAGAUUAUCUGAAAUUGACACUGAAGAAGGUAAGGGUGGAAACCGGUUUCAUUUUUCAGAGGGUUGGAAGGCUGCGCUGCGCCCGCCGCCGUGGCUCCCGCUCCGGGAGUAGGAGGGUGGGGGAGUGAUUAUGUAUGCACCAGCUAAUUCUUCCAUCAAAACUUCUUGUCAGCGAUGUCAGGAUUAUUUUUUUCCUUUUUAUAAAAACACUUGAUGUUUCAGGAAGUGUUAAUCCUCGAAGAUUGGGGGAUGAGGGAGGGGGUAGGAAAGCGGUGGGUGGGGGUGACAUGUUUCUUGAGCCUGGGGAAGGCACUUUUUACAGCCGUUUGUCUGUCUACGCUGGAGCUAGGGGUUUGUUGUGGAGCUGGGGACCGGAGGAGGAUUUCUUUGAGGCAUGGGAGGGAAGGACCCUCGCCUUCUGUACUGCAUUUGAUGGAGGUUCCUAUGGCCAUGCGGGAUGAAGAGCAGAAAAGUUUGCGUUAGCCUAUAAUUUCAAGGGUGUUUAAUCCAGGCGGUGGGAUGACAAAAACCAGGUAAUUCUGAAAUCAGUUUAUAAAAGAUACAGAAAGGAAGAGAUGGAUACCAGGAUAAAGAUUUAAAGCCAGGAAGCCUGGGUUGCUUCUU